rnacentral:rRNA from 1 species
AAACUUUCAACAACGGAUCUCUUGGUUCUGGCAACGAUGAAGAACGCAGCGAAAUGCGAUAAGUAAUGUGAAUUGCAGAAUUCAGUGAAUCAUCGAAUCUUUGAACGCACAUUGCGCCCCCUGGUAUUCCGGGGGGCACACCUGUCCGAGCGCCAUU